GGGACACGUGGUAUCCUGUCUGAAUAUGGGGGGACCAUCCUCCAAGGCUAAAUACUCCUGACUGACCGAUAGUGAACCAGUACCGUGAGGGAAAGGCGAAAAGAACCCCGGCGAGGGGAGUGAAAAAGAACCUGAAACCGUGUACGUACAAGCAGUGGGAGCACGCUUAGGCGUGUGACUGCGUACCUUUUGUAUAAUGGGUCAGCGACUUAUAUUCUGUAGCAAGGUUAACCGAAUAGGGGAGCCGAAGGGAAACCGAGUCUUAACUGGGCGUUAAGUUGCAGGGUAUAGACCCGAAACCCGGUGAUCUAGCCAUGGGCAGGUUGAAGGUUGGGUAACACUAACUGGAGGACCGAACCGACUAAUGUUGAAAAAUUAGCGGAUGACUUGUGGCUGGGGGUGAAAGGCCAAUCAAACCGGGAGAUAGCUGGUUCUCCCCGAAAGCUAUUUAGGUAGCGCCUCGUGAAUUCAUCUCCGGGGGUAGAGCACUGUUUCGGCAAGGGGGUCAUCCCGACUUACCAACCCGAUGCAAACUGCGAAUACCGGAGAAUGUUAUCACGGGAGACACACGGCGGGUGCUAACGUCCGUCGUGAAGAGGGAAACAACCCAGACCGCCAGCUAAGGUCCCAAAGUCAUGGUUAAGUGGGAAACGAUGUGGGAAGGCCCAGACAGCCAGGAUGUUGGCUUAGAAGCAGCCAUCAUUUAAAGAAAGCGUAAUAGCUCACUGGUCGAGUCGGCCUGCGCGGAAGAUGUAACGGGGCUAAACCAUGCACCGAAGCUGCGGCAGCGACACUAUGUGUUGUUGGGUAGGGGAGCGUUCUGUAAGCCUGUGAAG
rnacentral:rRNA from 1 species